rnacentral:rRNA from 1 species
UCUGUAGGUGCGCCGGCAGAUUCUGCCUAUCGAUAAGCCGAGUAAGCUUCUCAUUAGCCGCUGGAAGAACAUAAUAGUUACAACUUUCAACAACGGAUCUCUUGGUUCUGGCAUCGAUGAAGAACGCAGCGAAAUGCGAUAAGUAGUGUGAAUUGCAGAAUUCAGUGAAUCAUCGAAUCUUUGAACGCACAUUGCGCCCCUUGGUAUUCCAUGGGGCAUGCCUGUUCGAGCGUCAUUUGUACCUUCAAGCUCUGCUUGGUGUUGGGUGUUUGUCUCGCCUCUGCGUGUAGACUCGCCUUAAAACAAUUGGCAGCCGGCGUAUUGAUUUCGGAGCGCAGUACAUCUCGCGCUUUCACUCAUAACGACGACGUCCAAAAGUACAUUUUUACACUCUUGACCUCGGAUCAGGUAGGGAUACCCGCUGAACUUAAGCAUAUCAAUAGG